rnacentral:rRNA from 1 species
AUUGAACGCUGGCGGCAGGCUUAACACAUGCAAGUCGAGCGGAGAUGAGGUGCUUGCACCUUAUCUUAGCGGCGGACGGGUGAGUAAUGCUUAGGAAUCUGCCUAUUGGUGGGGGACAACAUUCCGAAAGGAAUGCUAAUACCGCAUACGCCCUACGGGGGAAAGCAGGGGAUCUUCGGACCUUGCGCUAAUCGAUGAGCCUAAGUCGGAUUAGCUAGUUGGUGGGGUAAAGGCCUACCAAGGCGACGAUCUGUAGCGGGUCUGAGAGGAUGAUCCGCCACACUGGGACUGAGACACGGCCCAGACUCCUACGGGAGGCAGCAGUGGGGAAUAUUGGACAAUGGGCGGAAGCCUGAUCCAGCCAUGCCGCGUGUGUGAAGAAGGCCUUUUGGUUGUAAAGCACUUUAAGCGAGGAGGAGGCUACCUGGAUUAAUACUCUAGGAUAGUGGACGUUACUCGCAGAAUAAGCACCGGCUAACCCUGUGCCAGCAGCCGCAGUAACAC